GGUCCUCCAGGUGUUCCUGGAUUUCCAGCAUUUCCAGUUUCUCCCUUCGGUCCAACAGGUCCAGGGGCGCCAGGUGGUCCUGGUGGUCCAACUACCGUAGUUUGUUGGGGUUGGCUGUAG